GCCACCCUCUGCUUAGUCGGCCCAGCCCACCCAGACCUGACACUGGCUCCAGUGCAGCAGGAGCACGAGGAGGCCACACGGAGGUGCCCGUGUGGAUGCUGUCGGCCGUGGCCCACGCUGCACACGGCACCCUGCACAAGAGCGCCCAGCCUGGGGUGGCCUCUCCCCCGCUGUGCUGCGGGGACCCACCUCACCAAGGGAGCUCUUGAGGACCCCAGAGUCCGUGUCAGGUGACAGGCCUAGGAACUUUCACAACAAAGUGGCCUCUGAUCGUUUCCCAGACCUUUCUGCUCAUGUCCGUUAGAAAAUUCUGGAGAGGCCCGGUGGCUCACACAGAGGCAGGUGGAUCACCUGAGAUCAGGAGUUGGAGGUCAGCCUGGCCAACAUGGCAAAACU
rnacentral:lncRNA from 1 species